CACGUAGUUGGCCGGUGCUUCUUCUACCCCUACCGUCACUCACGCUUCGUCGGGGCCGAAAGAGGUUUACAACCCGAAGGCCGUCAUCCCCCACGCGGCGUCGCUGCGUCAGGCUUCCGCCCAUUGCGCAAGAUUCCUCA
rnacentral:rRNA from 1 species